AGGAGAGAAGGGGAGGCCGGGGGGCCGCUUGGUGCCCAAGAUUUCUCAGACGUCCCAGAGCCCUGACUCUGCUGCCAGCUUGCUUUACAGUGAGGCCAAGGAAGGAGCCACGGAGGGUGUGCUGGCCCUAGGAGCAGGAUUCCUGUGUGUUCACUAAGCUUGCAGCAUCAAGAAGCCACCAGCCAGCAUGGACAUGUGAGCGUCAGAGGGAGGGAAAACAAAACACUCAUGGGAAGAAGCGGGACCAGGCUCCAGCCGCAAAGUCGCCCUUCAUGCUUCACGCAAGAAAAAGGCCUCAGAGGUGUACACAGUGAUCCAGGUGCUGCCUCUGGCAAUUCACGGGAGAAUCCCAGAAAGUUCCGUGACAUCAUCUCCAUAAUCCCCAGUACACAGUGAAGCCGGAGCUGGAGAGAGAUGGGCAGGAGCUGUGAGGACAUGAUCAAAUCACUGUGCCAGCUGGUCACCAGGGGGCCACCACUCCAAGGAACCCUGAAGAUGGUGGACAGGAAUUAGGAAGUGUUGAACCGUCUUAGAUGGAAUGCUGUUCAUAUGAAAGCAAGACGCUCUAUCCUAGAAUUGCUUUUAUCAUUUGGUUCUAUUGCCACUUUUCGAAAAUUGUGUGACGUGAAGCAUGCAGAAAUAAAAAGAAGUAACACAGAAA
rnacentral:lncRNA from 1 species